rnacentral:rRNA from 1 species
UACGUAGGGUGCGAGCGUUGUCCGGAAUUAUUGGGCGUAAAGAGCUUGUAGGCGGUUUGUCGCGUCUGCUGUGAAAAUCCGGGGCUCAACCCCGGACUUGCAGUGGGUACGGGCAGACUAGAGUGUGGUAGGGGAGACUGGAAUUCCUGGUGUAGCGGUGAAAUGCGCAGAUAUCAGGAGGAACACCGAUGGCGAAGGCAGGUCUCUGGGCCACUACUGACGCUGAGAAGCGAAAGCAUGGGGAGCGAUCCGG